AAAAAUGUUUUAUGGGAUUUUUUUUAAUGGUCUAGGGACCUGUCAUACAACAAUCUAAGUGGUCCAGUACCAAGGUUGCCUGCCAAGACCUUCAAAUGCUCAAACUGCUAGGAGACCCAAAAACCAUAAAAUUGCUUUAGCCUUUGCUUCAAGCCUAGGCUGCAUUUGUCUACUAAUUCUUGGGUUUGGUUUCCUUCUUUGGUGGAGGUACAGACACAACCAGCAUAUUUUCUUUGACGUCAACGAGCAACAUCAUGAGGAGGUUUUCCUUGGAAACCUGUGGAGAUUUCAAUUUAGAGAGCUUCAGAU